GAAAGCUUAUCACUUCUCUUUGCAGGUAGCUGUUCAUCAAUGCAGAUAUGCCCUCAUCACUUCUAAGAUUCCAUAUCACUUCUCUCCAAUGUUCAUCAACAAAUACAAGAUUAUCCCCAUGUUCCUAAAAUGACGCAAAUCUAUAAUAUUUGACGCUAUUAACAGAGGUAACAUUCAUUCGACAUGAACAUCUAAUAUAGUUCACCAGAAAGUAGAGUUGCAGAAAAUGACUUGACAUAAUUCCAUCCAUUGAAAAUUCCUAGUAAAACAGACGACUUGAGGUCCACCUUUCCCACAGAAAGAACACCAAUGUGCAGAAUAAGAAGAUACAAAGGUAUCAAACGCAAACCUCGGUAGCAAGCUUGUAAUCUCCCUUGGCCUCCCACGCCCCACCUUCGGACAAACCUAUCCGCUUCGCGGAUCUCGCUACGAUGGCGAGGUCUGCGACGCUGAAGGAGGCGGCGAUCUCAUAGCGCCUCGAUGGUCUGAGCGUCGGACCCCCAUGGUGGAGAUCCCCAACAGCGCCCGGACGGAGGGGGCGUCGGAGAGACUCCCGGAGCCGGAAGGGCUUGCACCGCCGGCGAAGGGAAAUGUGACGUCUCUCCUAAUUGGACAUAAAUUAGUCGAUUAAGUCUCAGGCCACCGUCAUUGGUUAAAGCAAUGGAUGAACAUAUUGGAUCAUAAAUUUGUUUUCUAAAUAAUAUAUAAUUAUAUUACAAUAUGUAAUACGUUAUGUUAAAAAUAUGUCACAUACAU
rnacentral:lncRNA from 1 species